AACGUAGGAGGCAAGCGUUAUCCGGAUUCAUUGGGCGUAAAGCGCGUGCAGGCGGUGCUUUAAGUUGGACGUAAAAUCUCCCGGCCUAACUGGGAGGGGCCGUUCAAUACUGGGGCACUUGAGGUCAGAAGAGGGAAGUGGAAUUCCCGGUGUAGCGGUGGAAUGCGUAGAUAUCGGGAGGAACACCCGUGGCGAAGGCGGCUUCCUGGGCUGUACCUGACGCUGAGACGCGAAAGCUAGGGUAGCAAACGGGAUUAGAUACCCCCGUA
rnacentral:rRNA from 1 species